UUGAUCCUGGCUCAGAAUCAACGCUGGCGGCGUGCCUAACACAUGCAAGUCGAACGAGAAAGUGGAGCAAUCCAUGAGUAAAGUGGCGACCGGGUGAGUUACACGUGACUAACCUACCUUCGAGUGGGGGAUAACCUCGGGAAACCGGGUCUAAUACCGCAUAACAUCUUUGGAGUGGAAAUUCUGGAGAUCAAAGGAGUAAUUCGCUGGAAGAGGGGGUCGCGGCUGAUUAGCUAGUUGGCGGGGUAAUGGCCCACCAAGGCUUAGAUCGGUAGCCGGCCUGAGAGGGCGCACGGCCAUACUGGAACUGAAACACGGUCCAGACUCCUACGGGAGGCAGCAGUGGGGAUUUUUGCGCAAUGGGGGAAACCCUGACGCAGCAACGCCGCGUGGAGGAUGUAGUCCCUUGGGACGUAAACUCCUUUCGACCCGGACGAUAAUGACGGUACUGGUGGAAGAAGCCCCGGCUAACUUCGUGCCAGCAGCCGCGGUAAUAAGGU
rnacentral:rRNA from 1 species